GGUUAGUCUAAGUGCAGUGAUGUUUACAACUAAUUUUGUGUAAACGCACAACAUGCAACCAGUGUUUACAACCAGUUACAGAUUUCUUUGUUCCUUCUCCACUCCCACUGCUUCCCUUGACCAGCCUUAA
rnacentral:Y_RNA from 1 species